rnacentral:lncRNA from 1 species
UGGCAAGGGCAGGAAGGAGAGUAGCGGCGGAUUUCUGGCAUCUCUAAUUUACCUAGUCUAAGUGGUUCCCUAAAAGGGCUCCGAAAGUUGUAGGAACUGGGGACGUUUCAGAAACACCCGCUACAUUCCUGAGACUUUACUCCAUCUAAAGAAAAGUCAUAGUGAGGGGCAGUCACUGUGGAGUGGAACUUGAAAUAGCUUUAUUUUUCUCAGAAGGCUUCCCAGUUGUCUUUAGGGGUGGAAUGGGAAGCCCGCUGGAAUAAGACAGAAUAGGUUAGAUUUCAGUCAGUUGCUAGAGUUUAGGGUCCUAAGGAGGAAUUUGUCUGCAUAAUUUCUAGACCCGGCAGAAGAAUCAUUCUAAGAAUAGCUUUUUUGAAAGUAACCGCCAAUAUGAAAUGUUCACGUUUCAAACUUGAGUUAAAAAAAAAACAAAAUCUUAUUUAAGAUUUAAAAGGAAGCCAAUUUUUUACACAAUUUCUGAAAUCUAUUUCUGCACUCUAGUGCUGAGCCCGGUAUGGCUAUGGUGGGGACAGAGUGACAUGGUUCCUGCCCUUGGGACAAGUCCUCCAGUGUGAGCCUCCAUGAGUGUGAUGGCUGCUGUGGGGAUUUCAGUAAUGAAGGCGGAUGGCUAUGGAGGAGGGAACCCUCUGAAGGUGUAAACAACCCGAGCAGUACACGCAUAUCACAGCACACAUGUGGAGGUCAGAAGACAAUGUCUGCUGCCAAUCACUGCCUUCCACUUUGUUUGAGGUGGAACCACAGGAGUAAACGUGGGCAACCCAAAAGCCUGCUCACCGAGUCCUCUUCUCAGGAUUUCCUGGACCAGGCACCAAGAGACAGAGCUAGGAGUCUCUCUCUAUGCACUGUAGCUGAAGGAGCCACUGAGGAAAAGUUCAGAGUAACGAAGGGUCCUCUGGCGUGCCUUGGAACAAGAUGAAGCAGACCCCGUGACUGAAGAACAGGCGAAGCUGGGCUGAUCUUGGGAAGAAACGGACCUCGGAUACUCUAGGCAAGUGCCUUAGCUUUAAUACCCUGGCCUGAGGAAAGAUGAUUUUCUCCCUAGAAUUUAUUACCCAGGAACACAGGAACGGGGCAUCACCUGCCUGGAAGGGCUAGGGGCCUCGCAGUGCAUCCCUCUUCCAGGCAUAGAUCAUCAUCUUCUGUAUACAGCCACUGUGUCAGCAGCUAGCAACACUGGCAUGAACAGGUGCAAGAAGGGCCUGACAAUGUGUUGACCAACUGACACCAAAAGACUUCUGACUCCUGAGCCCUUAGUUCCAGUCUGCUGAGUCACCACUAAGGUUUGCCUGCACGUGCACCAGGAGUGUUCCUGGGGUCUAAGGAAGCUGAAAGAAGGCAUUGAAUCCUCCGGAACUGUAGUUACAGGUGUUUCUAAGACACCAUAUUACUGCUGGGAAUGGACCUGAGUCCUCUGCAAGACCAGCAAAUGCCCUCCCUUAACUGCUGGACCACCUCACCAACUCUGAAAAGGUUUCUUCAAAAUGCGGCUUAAGUGAAGAGGGAACCAGCACAGGGCGAAGAUGACAACCAAGCAGAAGACAGUCUUUGCCACUUCUCGACGCUAAGGGCAAGUUCAUGCAAACAAGGAUAAAGGUUUCAAAGAUCUGCUGUUUGCAAACAGAGGAUAAGGGGAGGAGUUUUCAGCAGUGCUGGUUAGAGGCACUUGGCAUGUUGACGAACGAGUGACUCCAACUGAAGCCUUACCAGCCUCCGAGACGACUCGUGGACUGACCAGCCAGAGUUUAGGAACUAUCUGGACCUCUUCAUUUGGGUUCAGACUGCUGAGGCUGGCUUUACCAGGCAGCAGGUCCAACACACAGCAUUUGGUUUCAUUGUGCAUCCAAGGCUGACCUGGAACAAACACAUAGUCAAAGCUGGCCUUGGAUUUGUGAAUCCUUACAUCAUUCUUCUGGGUGCCAGGAUCACAGAUAAUGUACCACCCCCAGCUCAGUUGACUUUUUCUGGCACCUACUAGAAUUGGACACCGUCUUUGGGGCUGGCGAUGACCCAGUGGUUAAGAACGUUUGUGGCUCUUGCAGAAGACCUAGGUUCCAUUCUCAGCACCCAUGUUGGACAGCUCAUGACCUGUUAACUCCAGUUAUAGGGGAUCAGAUGCCCUCUUCCAGCCUCUGUGGCACCUGCACACACACGUGUAAAAUAAAAUAAUUCUUUAUUAAGAUGUCAACUCUCAGCUACUGCUCCAGCGCCUGCUUGCCUGCUGCCAUGUUCCCCGCUAUGAUGUCAUGGACUUAUGACAUCUAAACUGCACACCCGAGCUUUAACCACCAGGUCAUCCUGUCUCUCUUAUUUCCAUGCUUUAUUUGCAUCAACAACAUACUUAAGAUGUCUCCAGAAUUUGGAUGACGCAGCAGAACAUUGGAAGGAGUGUUCAGGAUCUGACUGUGUGGCUCUGGAUGCUGCCUUGCCCUCCCGAGUGCUGGAAUGGCAGUGCUUUGAUACCAUGCCCAGCUACCAGUUCUUGUGAUUCUUAUGAUACCUCAUCAGGGUGGAGUUUGGUAGCUUUGGAAGCCUGUUCCAAGAGAGAAAACCAGCCCGUAUGCUUAUAGACUUAAGCAGGAGCCUAGCAAAACUCUCUCCUGAGAUGCUUCAUCCAAGCAGCAAAUAGAAACAGAUGCAGAGACCCACAGACAAACAUCAGGUGGAGCUCAGGAGUUGAGAGUGAUUGCCUUGCUGACUCGUGAUUCUGUGGGCUGGCAUUCUGCUGAGCUCAGCCUUAUAGUUCUCUGUCCUUGCUGCGGAGCAUCCGGUGGCUUCCGACAGCUGUGAGCACAGCAACAGUGGAAUGCGCUCUGAGUUGGCCUCCCUCACACGUCCAGUGCUUGAUGCUGCUUAUUGAAUGACUGAACCCUGGUGUGAAGGCAGCAGAAUCAGUAACUCUCCACUGGCAACAAAGCUGGAGCUGUGUCCUUGCAGGAGGAGAGCGUUGGCUGGGAAGAAGCUGAACGCCCAUCCUCUUUAAUGUUAGGAAGCUCUGAGAAGCUCUGAGAAGAAGAGUCUUGGCCCAGAGCGUCAUAAUGAAGUUGCUUUGGCGAGCUUCCUUUUUAAGACCUUUGGCUGUGGGUGAGCUAUGUGACCUGGGAAAUGUAAGGCAAGCUGUUGUUGCAGAUGUAGCCCAGACACAGGGCACACAAAGCCGCUGAGCUUUUGUCCUUUCAGAAACUGCAACUCUAUGAUCCAACAAAAGCAGCUUUUAAGUUUAAGUCAUCUGACAGUUUAUGUGAGGUGACAAUAAGUUAAUUUAAUAGAUGUUUAUUUUCCUCAUUUUAGAGAUGUCAUUAAUUCUAGCUUAUGUUCGAAUUCAAUAUAAUAUUUGUGCAAAACACAAAUGAAUUGUAUAUACAGUUUGUGACAGUUAGUUUUAAUUGUCAACUUGACAUAACCCAGGAUCACAUGGGAAAGGAAUCUCAGUGAGGGAUGGUCUACAUCAGAUUGGCCUGUGGGCACAUCUAAGUGGGAUUGUCUUGAUUGCCUGUGUUUAUGUGAAAAUCCAGGCCAGCAUAAAUAGCACUGCUCCCGAGACAAGAGGUCAUGCAUAUGGAGCCAAGCACAGGCAAGCAAGCAAGCAAGCAAGCAAGCAAGCAAGCAAGCAAGCAAGCAAGCAUUCAUCUCUCUUCUUGACCAUGGUUGCAAUGUGAUAGACUAUAACCUGGAAGCAUAAGCCAGGGAGAUCCUUUUUCCCCUACUUUAAUUUUUGUCAGGAUAUGCUUAUCACAGCAACAGAAAUUGAACUAUAUUAGCAUUUAUUCCUGUUAAUCCUGUUGUCUACAAAAAAAAAAAAAAACCCAGUAAGAAUAAGUUAUCAAAUACUGGAUAGUGCAUUUUCAGGAAAUACAGGGUUGUGUUCCUUUUAGUCUCUGAUCACUUGUUCGCCAACAGACUAAUUCAUAACCUUGAUGUUUCUGUCUUUAUGUUCAGCGGUACUACUUAGUAUGUGUUGUUGAUUCAUUGGCAUGGGACUCACGGUCAACAGCAUUGUAGCUCAUGCCUUGGUGAAGGCUGCCUGACACACAUACCCUUCACUGGCACACCACAGCUUCCUUGUACUUAGAAAUAUGAAAUGGUACUUCAGCACCAGCUCAGGGGUCAUUUUACAUGUCAGAAUCCCCACACAAAAGUGCAAAAAUAAAAAAAAAAACUGUGGUGUCGUUAGAGUGUGAAAGAACACUUGUUCAUGGUGUGGAAACUGGAUUGUGAAGUCAGAAGUUUGCUUGGUUCAUCAAAUUUGAGGAUGUAUGGAUGGGUCAUUUCCUGUCUCUAUGGACACAGGGAGGAUUGAUUUGCAGGCUACAAAUCCUUUUGACAGAUGGGCAAACUCACAAAUGUGGAAUCCUUGAAACAUAAAAAAAAAUCCACCAUUGGGGCUCGAGAGAUGACUCAGUGGUUAAGAACACUGAUUGCUCGUCCAGAGGUCCUGAGUUCAAUUCCCAGCAACCACAUGGUGGCUCACAACCAUCUGUAAUAGAAUCUGGUGCCUUCUUCUGGUGUGUCUGAAGACAGCUACAGUGUGUUCAUAUACAUUAAAUAAAUACAUUUUUAAGA